CGGAGGGUGCAAGCGUUGUCCGGAUUUAUUGGGUUUAAAGGGUGCGUAGGCGGUUUAUUAAGUCAGUGGUGAAAGACGGUCGCUCAACGAUUGCAGUGCCAUUGAUACUGGUAGACUUGAGUGGGAUUGAGGUAGCUGGAAUGGAUAGUGUAGCGGUGAAAUGCAUAGAUAUUAUCCAGAACACCAAUUGCGUAGGCAAGUUACUAAGUCUCAACUGACGCUGAGGCACGAAAGUGUGGGUAUCAAACAGGA
rnacentral:rRNA from 1 species